rnacentral:tRNA from 1 species
GGGAGUGUUGUCAAAUGGUUUUGACAGACAGUUUUGAACUGUUGCUCUGUGUGGAGCUGAGAGUUCAAUUCUCUCCAUUUCCC